rnacentral:lncRNA from 1 species
CUUCUUCAUCUUGUGCCGCCUUCUUGAGAUCCCCUACUCCCUGGACCUGUUUAGGUCAUUCUUUCAGAUGAAGGUCAGUGGACCAGUUCACGGUUGGUUCUACUUCGCUCGUAGGAGCGGGGGAGAGCUCCCGACCCGUGAGCUGUUCACGCAAGCCUCUUCCUCCAUUAAGGGCUGGAAGGCUCAGUUCUUCUACGUGAAGAACACAGGCUUUCCUCCUUGACCUGGAGGGAGGAGACCCAGGUAUCCGACCCUACUCCUUCACCUCUGCCAACGGUCGAGCUAGACCGCCUGGUUAGCUCGGGAGCUAGGUUGAAGGUGAAGGAAUUCAACAACGCCCGAACUCUGGUCUGCGGGGCUGAUUCAGGCAGAGGUGAACGACCCUGCCCCCGAUCUCCGACCUCUCACCUCCGAGGAGCUGGCAACUCGUAAAUUCUUGUUCUCAUCUCCUUUCUUCUUUUUCUGCGAGCUCGACUAUGUUAUUUGCACUGACUUUUUUUCUUCGUCUUGUAGUGAAUAGAUUCUCCCAACUACUGAAUAUAGGGGGAACAGGCAGCUCUAGCAUACCUGCCACCGUACCGCCUGCUGCACCGGACAGCUCGGGCCUUGCCGCUCCCCCUCCUGCUCCAGCCCCCCAGGCCCCUGCUCAGUCCUCUCUUACUGAGGGGGCCAAGAAGAAGAGGAAGAAAUCCACGGCCAAGAGAGCCUGAACCGAGAUCAUCUCUUCCCCUGCCCAAGCGCUGCAACCAACGUCCACUGAUGCCCCCUGGAGCACUAUGGGGUAAACUCAGUCGAGCAGCAGGCCUCGUCAGAGUCACCGCCUGCUAUGUGGCGCCAGAGGAACGUGAUUCCUUUGAAGCCUCCCUCCCAGCUGAGUGCCCAUCCGUGACCUCGUGUCAGCCCGAACGUGAUCAAGUCAGUAGAGUUUAAGAGUAGGACAACAAUAGAGAGUACUGUGGAUGGCGUACCUUGUAUUGUCGUGUGAUGCGGUAUUUAUAUGCUUCAGGGUAGUGGUUUCCAUAUAGGAGUAAGAGUCCCCUUAGGGUUCGGAGUCCUUCUAGGGUUUCGUAUGACAACCCCUAAAGGUUCGGAGGCGGCGGCCCACUAGACCCACUCUAGGGAGAGGCGGCGGUAGUGGCCGAGCUGACCUCCCUCUAAAUCGAGCUGAGGCGUCUGAGCUGGGAGACCUCUAUUGCUGACCUCAUGUGUGCUAGAGCCGAGUUGACACGUAUCACAUGUGGAUUGGCCCUACUACACUAUCCCCCUUUGAAUCUAGAGUCACCGAGAGGUCGAGUGAGUCUGGACCAAAUUACGAGGCGUCGGGUCGGUUCGGCGUAGGGUCCACGAUCCCAUAGCUAUGCCUCUUGUUCGAAUAACUGCCACGUCUACUGUCGUAACUGUCGCUUCAAAGGUCAUGUCCUCUUGCAAUGGCGGUUAUCAGCUCAACCGUCUUCCAAGGUGACAGUUUCUUAGCAAUAAAUUUGAAAUUUCAAUUCGGGACUCUUCGUCUUCCCGUCCAGAUAGCCUAUAAAUAGACCCCAUCAAACGUUACUUUCAAGCUUCAUUCCUCACUUUUUCUCCUUCUAAAUCUCCAUCAGCUCGCUCCGCGCUUAGUGAGUUCGUCAGAGAGUAGCAUCUCCUUCUAAGCACCUACCAGCUCUUCUCCCUUAUCCGCUAGUAAGUCUUCUUUCUCUUUUAUGUCUUCCUCUUCCACACACUCAGACUUCAAUAGCUCGACACCUAGGCGUAGAGUAGUCCGACCUGCCCCCAUAGAUAUAAUCUCUUCUUCUUCUAGCUCCUCAUCCUCUAGUUCAUCUGGGUUUGAGUACUACCUUUCCCAAUACAUUCUCCAACCCACAACAUGGACCAACUGGACCAACCUGCCCAACCUGACACUGGAGCUGCUGCCCCAGUAAUUCCACUGGAAGCAGUCCUAGGUCGCGCCAGGGCAGGUCUCUCUAGGGGGCCUGACAUCGACUUCGGGGAAGUCGAGAUCAUCCCCCCCUCUUGGACCAAGAGGACAAAAACGAGUUGGUGGGGAAGUAUGAUAUUCCUUCCCAGUUCUAGGCUAGGGCUGCCCGGCCAGGGGAGUACGCGUGUCGACCUCCUCCUGAGUCUGUGGCCAUAUAUAGAGAUCAGCUCGUAGCCGCCCUCCGUCUCUCAAUUCCUCACUUCCUCUACGAAAUCCUGACCUUCUGGGGAAUUCGAAUAAUCCAGCUCGUCCCCAAUGCAGUCAGAUCGAUACUAGGUUUCUUCAUCUUGUGCCGCCUUCUUGAGAUCCCCUACUCCCUGGACCUGUUUAGGUCAUUCUUUCAGAUGAAGGUCAGUGGACCAGUUCACGGUUGGUUCUACUUAACUCGUAGGAGCGGGGGAGAGCUCUCGACCCGUGAGCUGUUCACGCAAGCCCCUUCCUCCAUUAGGGGCUGGAAGGCUCAGUUCUUUUACGUGAAGAACACAGGCUUUCCUCCUUGACCUGGAGGGAGGAGACCCAAGUAUCCGACCAUAUUCCUUCACCUCUGCCAACGGUCGAGCUAGAUCGCCUGGUUAGCUCGGGAGCUAGGUUGAAGGUGAAGGAAUUUAACAACACCCGAACUCUGGUCUGCGGGGCUGAUUCAGGCAGAGGUGAACGACCCUACCCCGAUCUCCGACCUCUCACAUCCGAGGAGCUGGCAACUCGUAAAUUCUUGAUCUCAUCAUCCUUUCUUCUUUUUCUGCGAGCUCGACUAUGUUAUUUGUGCUGACUUUUUUUCUUCGUCUUGUAGUGAAUAGAUUCUCCCAACUACUGAAUAUAGGGGGAACAGGCAGCUCUAGUAUACCUGCCACCGUACCGCCUGCUGCGCCGGACAGCUCGGGCCUUGCCGCUCCCCCUCCUGCUCCAGCCCCCCAGGCCCCUGCUCAGUCCUCUCUUACUGAGGGGGCCAAGAAGAAGAGGAAGAAAUCCACGGCCAAGAGAGCUCGAAUCGAGAUCAUCUCUUCCCCUGCCCAAGCGUUGCAACCAACGUCCACUGAUGCCUCCUGGAGCACUAUGGGGUAAACUCAGUCGAGCAGCAGGCCUCGUCAGAGUCACCGCCUGCUAUGUGGCGCCAGGGGAACGUGAUUCUUUUGAAGCCUCCCUCCCAGCUGAGUGCCCAUCCGCACCCCCUACAUUUUUGCCCUAAAUGGGGGUUAUCGGUGAAUGACCGAACUCAAUUUUCGGAAGCAGCUCGAGAGCUCCUCAGGGGCACAAUGCUCCCGCGCGAUCAUCACUACAUUCGACUUGCGUCCAACUCCGAACUGCUGGAGCACUACUACCUUAGCGCGGCUCAGGUAACUCCUCAACUAGCGGCAUUUUAUUGGUAUUUCCUUGACCUAUUGAUCCUCACCUUGAGUUUAACUGGCAUCUUAACGUGGCUGGUGCUGAGCUGUCACAGAGGUAUGAAAACAUGGGAGAGAAUCUCUCCCAAGCUGAUGCGGCCAAGGACAGGCUGUCCAGUCAGCUUUAGGCAGCUGAAACAGAGCUGGAAUCCUUGAAGAAGCAGCUCGCCGAAACCUAGUCUGCCUGCGAGUUGGAGAAGAAAAGGGCAGCGAAACUGACCUCGCAGCUAGAUACUGAGUAGAGGAAAUUUGCUGAGCUACCUGGUCAGAUCGAAGCUGCUCGUGAGGAAGGUCGCCAACUCGGCAUCAAGGACUUCAAAAAAUCUGAGGGCUUCCUGAAAGACCUGGCCCUCCUCAACGGGCCAAUCCUGCAAGUGGGGUAUGCUCAGGCAAUGCACGACGUGCAGUCCCUGAACCUGCUUGAGUUUGACUUGGGCAGGUAGCCUGAAUACAACUCUCAAGCCAUCCACCAAAUCGAUAGGCUCGUGGAGGGCUAUGUGCAUGGGUGCGACCUGACCAUCCUGAUCGCCGACCCUACUUUGGCCGCGACCUCUCCUGAGCUCGAGUAGGAGCAGCAGGGGGAAAAUUAGGGAGCGCUUAGCAUAGGCGUAGAUAGGGAUUAGAGCAGGGUAGGAACUGAACUGGCCAACUCGUUUUUGUAUGGCCCCCCUUAUGUACAUAUCUUUUUGAAAUGGAAUAGAUGGUCUUUUCAUCAAACACUUAGUAAAAAUUAUUUAUUUCUUCAUAGGAUUUUGAAUACAUUCUUACGACUCCAAGUAUCGAGCUAUCAAAAUGCCGAGCUGACCUCUUCAGCUGUUACUAAGUAAAAGACUACCUAGUUCACACUCUCCAGCUCGGGCAGAGCUCUAACGAAAGAGCCUUAAAUUUGAAUUGUGCCAGGUGCGCGGGACUUCAUCCCCAUUGAGAUGAGCUAGCUUACAGUACCUCGCACGAUCAGUUUCUUUCACCACGUAGGGACCCCUCCCAAUUUGGAUCUAACUUGCCCGUGCCCCCAACUCGACUUACGGAGUUUCUGCGUAAUACAGAUCCCUCGGUCUGAAGGAGAGGUGCCUGACUCUAGCGUUGUAGUACCGCGCGACCUGACCCUUGUAUUUAGCCAUUCUUAUGCACGUUUCUUCCUUACGGUGCUUGAGCAGGUCUAAGUUGAACCGCAUCUCCUUCUCAUUAUUCUGGGCCACAAAAUGUUGCACCCUGCUUGAGGGUACUCCGAUUGCUGCCGGGAUUACUGCUUCAAUCUCAUAUGUCAGGACGAACGGGGUUUCCAGGGUGGCUGUCCGAGGUGUAGUCCGGUAAGCCCACAGUAUGGUGGGCAGCCCAUCCAACCACCCUGUUCGAACAGAUUCUAUUCGUGUCUUCAACCCGUGCAGGUUGGUUCUAUUAGCAUUCUCGACCUGUCCAUUAGAUUGUGGGUGCCCCACGGAAGUGAAGUGCUGCUAGAUGCCGAGCUCAGAGCACCACUUCUGGAAGAAACUGUCCACGAACUGUCGGUCAUUAUCUGAGACUAGGAUCCGGGGUAUGCCAAAUCGACAGAUUAUGUUCUUCCAAAGGAAUUUCUGAAUCAACCUGCUAUUGAUUGUGCUAAGUGGUUCGGCCUCUAUCCUUUUAGUAAAGUAGUCAACAGCUACCACAAGAUGCUCAUAACCUCUUGGAGCUCGGGAAAAUGGGCCUAGCAGGUCAAUCCCCCGUUGGAAGAACGGCCACGGGAUAUGGAGAGGAAUCAUCUCGAGUUGGGCAUGGUGAAUUGGUGCGUGCAACUGACAAGACUUACAUCUGGCAUUCUGGCCACCAGCUUAGCUGAGUCUCGGAAGAUGGUGGGUCAAUAGUAUCCAGAUAACAUUUCCUUCUUGGCCAAUACCCUUGGUUCGACGUGAUUACCACAGAUGCCCUCAUGCAACUCGCGCAAGACAUGCUCCCCUCCUCUGGCGUUACUUACUUUAGCCAUGGCUGCAAGUAGGAUUUUAUAUAUAGUACUCCCUGCGUGAGCAUGUACUUCUGUGACUUGAGAAAGAUUUUGCGGGCCUCUGUCCUGCUCGGGGGAGCUCUCUAUGAUCUAGGUAUUGGACAAUGGGGUCCAUCCAAGAGCUCAUCACCUGAAUGACUGUGGCGUUUAACUGCUCAUACGCCCGACUUUUAACGACCUCCACCCAUAUCUCUCGAUUUAGAGUGCUAAACGAGGUAGAUGCCAGCUUGGACAGGGCAUCAGCUCUCUUGUUUUGGUUUCGUGGGAUCUGCUCGAGAAUGAACUGCUUGAACUGGUCCCUUAAUUCAUGUGUUUUGGCAACGUACUUCCUCAGUGGCCCCUCUAUAACCUCGUAGCUCCCCCAUACUUGGUUCACUAUCAGCUGCGAAUCGCUGUAGACUUUUAUUGAUUCAGCCCCUAAUUUUCGAGCUAUCUCCAUCCCCGCAAUCAGGGCCUUAUACUCAGAUUCAUUAUUAGAGGUUCUAAAAUCGAAUCUCAAGGCGUAGGCCAGUUCUUCUCCUGUUGGGCUGAUUAGAAGAAGACCUGCUCCACAUCCUUCCUUGCUUGAUGCACCGUCAACGUACAGCGUCCAGACUGGACCUGUUCGUCCUGCAGCCUCUAUAGCCUUUCUGGUUUGAGCAGUCCAUCUGGCCAGCUCGGCCUUGACUGCUCCUCCAGAAUGCGCGAUCUCGGCAGCUUCUCUGGCCUGUCCGACCUUAGUAGCCUCUCUGACCUGCUUGGCCUCAGCAGCUUCUUGGGUCUGCCUGGUCUCAGUUACUUCUCUGGCCUGUUCGACCUCAGCAGUCUUUCUGGUCUGUCCGACUUUAGUUGCCUCUCUGGCCUGCUCGGCCUCAGUAGCUUCUCGGGUCUGCCUGGCCUUAGCUACUUCUCUGGCCUGUUCUGUUUGGCCUCAACUGCUUUUCCGACCUGUUCGACCUCUGCUAUCUUAUUGGCCUGGGCGACCCUGGCAGUGUCUUUAACCUGCAAGAUCUCAACUGCCUUUUGGGUCUGUGUGGUCUUGGUAGUUUCUUGGACCUGUAAGGCUUUGGCUGCUCGUCUGGUGCGUGCGUUCUCAGCAGUUUCUUUGACUUUCCCGGCCUUACUUGCUUCCUUGGUUUGGUCAACCUUAGUCCCGGGAAAUCCAAAGAAAACGCAUUCUACUAUGAAGUCUGCCAAGACUUGGGAUUUGAUGGCCGUCCUCGGCUGGUAUCCGAGAUCGUACUCUGACAGCUCUACGUCCCAUUUCACCAUUCAUUCCGAGACAUCGGGUUUAGAGAGGAUCUGUUUCAGGGGUUGGUCCGUCACCACUAUUAUGGGAUGAGCUUGGAAGCACGACCUGAGCUUCCGAACUGCAUGAACUAAUGUCAAGACAUAUCAUUCUACCGUCGAAUACCUCACUUCGGCCCCCUGUAGGGCGCGACUAACAUAGUAUACAGGUUUUUGGACUUUGUUUUCCUCUUGUACCAGCACCGCGCUAACGGCCUCCUCCCCCACAGUUAAAUAGAUGAACAGGGUUUCACCAUGCUCUGGAGAAGUUAGGGCCGGCAACCGAGUAAGGUGGGUUUUUAGCUCAUCGAACGCUUUUUGGCACUCCGAUCUCCACUCGAAUUGCGAACCUCCUCUUAGAGCUUUAAAGAAAUGGGAGUCCCAAACUGCUGAUUUAGACAAGAACCUGUCCAAAACCGCCAUCCUUCCAGUCAGGCGCUGUACCUUCUUAACAUUUCGAUGAGGAGCCAUGUCUAUGAUGGCCUUGAUUUUGUCCAGGUUAGCUCUUACCACUUCUUUGGAAAUCAUGUAACCUAAAAAUUUUCUCGACCUAACCCCAAAGGUACAUUUCUUAGGGUUUAGCCGCAUCCAUGAGCUCCGAAGGACAUCGAAGAUUUCCCUAAGAUUAGCAAUGAACUGUUCUUGAGUCCGACUCUUCACCAACAUGUCAUCCACGUAGACCUCCAUAUUUCGACCGAUCUGAUCCUUAAACAAUCUAUUGACCAGCGUCUGGUAGGUCGCGCCUGCAUUCUUUAGCCCAAACGGCAUGGUGACAUAACAGUCAGUUUCGUUCUCAGUCAUAAACGAGGUCUUUUCCUGAUUCUCCUCAUCCAGUGUUAUUUGAUGAUACCCUUUGAAGGCGUCCAAAAAAUAAAAAAUCUCAUAUUCCGAGGUUGAAUCCACAAGCUGAUCAAUUUGCCGGAGGGGGUAGCAGUCCUUUGGGCAGACCUUAUUUAAGUUAGUGAAGUCCACGCACAUCCUCCAAACUCUUUCUUCCUUCUUGACCAGCACCGGAUUGGCCAGCCAUGUCGGGUAAUAGACAUCUUUCACGAUCUUGGUUUCUAACAGCUUGCCUACCUCACUUUUGACGGCCUCGUUUCGUUCAGGCGCAAAGUUCCUCUAUUUCUGUUUUACUGGUCGGACGUUGGGGUCCACGUAUAGCUUGUGAACCGCUAGCUCGGUGGGGAUUCCAAGCAUGUCAUCAGCACUUCAAGCAAAUAUUUUCGCAUAUUCUUCUAAAAGGGAUUCUAUAGAGUUCUGGGUCAACUCGCUGAGGCAGGUGCCGACCUUAACCGUACACUCAGGUCGGUUUGGGCGGACGGGCAGCUCAACCAGCCCCUUAUCCGUCUCCAGUCUCUCUCUUUUCUCCAUGGGCUCCCAGGGCUCCAAACAAGUUGUUUGAACUACCAAUUUUUCCUUGCCAUUGAGAGUUGCAAUAUAACAGGCUCUAGCCACCUCCGGAUCUUCGAGCACUUCAACUACCCCAAUAGGGGUAGGAAAUUUCAUGCUGAGGUGCAAGGUGGAGCAGACAGCCCAGAGGACGUUCAGGGUGGGUGGUCCCAGAAUCAUAUUGUACGAUGAGGGCCCUCUUACCACCGUGAAAUUCACUGGCACAGUUCGACACUUUGGUGACACCCCCACCAUGACCAUGAGAGUUAUCAUUCCCUUCGGCCUCACCGGAGGACCAACAAAUCUGAUCAAUGGAGUUCAGACUGAGAUGAGCUGUCUGUCCUCCAGCUACAGCUCUUUAAAGGUCUUGUAGUACAGCACAUCGAUGGCACUGCCAUUAUCAAUGUAUACCUUCUUCACUUUGUAGUUGCAGGUUGUGAGAACCCAUAAAUUUCUCUUAAUAAUUUUCUUAGGGUUUAUCCCCUUUAAUGGCAUGUUUUCUGCAUUUUCUGGUUUAGGAAAAAUUUUUCUGGUGAAUUUUAUGAGUAAUUAUGUUUUUAGAUGAUUUUUUAGUAUUGGAGAGUUUUUGAAAAACUAAGGAUAUAUAACGGAUGUGGGAUCCACUAGUGCGAAAAGUUCGGAAAAAUUCGGUCAAUUAGGUUAAGUUUCGGAUACUGGUUGAAAUUUAUCGGGUGUUAAGAGAUAAGUAGAGGUUGAGAUGUGAUUGAUGUGAGAGAGACUUAAAGGAUAGAAAUGCUUUAAAUAUAGUGACAAGUGUCACUUGGUGAAUGGUGGCACUUGUAGGACAACUAUUCAUUUUCUUGACUUUUUGACCAAUUGCUUAAAUAUCUCAAAAAUCACACAAAAUUCAUUCUUGUCUUCAACUUCUUGGCCGGCUCUCUCUCUAGGAAAAGAAAGAAAACUUCUCCAAUUUUCAAGCUUCCAACUAACUCAAAUCCUCCAAAACAAUUGCUUAAAUUUGUUUCUACUCCAUAAAAUCCCUCCAUUUGGUGCUAGUAAGUGAUUUUGUGGAAGUGUUCAAGGAAGCUAAGGUGUCCUACAACUCUCCCUCUCUUGUGUUCUAGGUAAGUGGUGUUUGAACUUCCUCCUACACUUAAUGAAGCUUGAGUUGUGCUUAGUGGAAGCUAAAGUGAUGACCUUUGUGAUUUAUUUCUUGCUUUUGGAUGAAAUGAUGAAGUUUUCAAUUUAAUGGUGAUUUUUCUGGUUUAAUUUGAUCAUGAGGUUGUGGCUGUCCAUGAUGGUUGGAAAUGAUGUUUUAUGACUCUAUUAGAUGUAAAUGAUUGGUAAUUGUAACCAAUUUUGGAUUUGGAAGGAAACGUGAGAAGUUAGGGUUUCAUAACCCCAUUUUCUGUCCGAUUUUGUAUCAUAUGGUUAGAGGUGAAUUGGCCUUUGCUUAAAACAUAAAAGUUAUAGGUAUUGAUGUGUUUGAGGUGCCUGUAAAAUUUCAGGUCAUUUGGAGUAGUGUAGAGUGAGAAAUGUCGAAAUUACUAUUGCUGUUCUGGGUUCAUCAGGAUGGCAGAACUGCGCCUGUAAUUGGCUGUGUUGACUGGAAUUGCUUUGGAUUUGGUUGUUGAGGCCUUCUGAUGAAAUGUAGCUUGAUGUCUUAGCUACCGCAUGCCUUUGGAAUCAAUGAAUUUGGACUUGUAUAGACUGAGUUGGACUAAUUACAGCAUAGUGUAAUUUGUAAACCUGCAAUUAAGGUUCUGGUUUGGUAUCUUGCAUAUUUGACCUGGUUGUGAUAGGAAUUGGACUGAGUGACCUUCUACAUUGUUGUAGCCCUGGUUCUUAGCUUCAAAACGGUGGAUCUUACACCCUCAUCUGAUAAUCGUAGUGAAAUUGGUACCAUUACCGCAAAAUGAGGAUAAAAACUAUUUUUUUUUCAGGACCAAAGUUAAUUGCAUUUCCGGAUUUUCUGGUUACCUAUGAUACUUGUAUAUGCAUAUGAAACCCUAUUGGGGUUGUGAUUGGCAUUGCUUUAUGACUCGUUAUCGAGUCUCAUUGUACUUGUUUACGUGUUCUAGGGCGUGACGGUGGUUCACGACAUUCUCUUGACGGAAGUGCAUGAAACAACACUUAAUUGAUAAGUGAGUAUACUACUCACUUGAAUGUUACAAUGUGGCUUUGCUAUAUGUGAUUUUGAUGCCUUGAAAGCUUAUUUGGCUAUUGGAAUUGAUUGAGGUGAGGGUGUACUUGACCGUCCUCAUCCCUUGUGAUACCGUUAAUGACUGUUUACCGCUUCACUGAUAUACUGCACUUGCUAUAUGAGAUAUUGAAUUCACUUCAUGAAAAACUGAUUUGAUGUCGUUUGGACGAGUAUCCAACGGCCUUACUGUACUACUGACCUCAACCUCGUUGGUAGUCAAUUGAAUCGAGCCGGCGAGGGCUUGGUCGUGAAAAUUGACAUGCCACGGGGACUGUAUUGGGGAAUCUUGUAGUAUUGAAACUCUUGAUUUCGGUAAACUCGAGUAUUACCAAAAGCUACUGAUUGGAGUGCGGGCCUGGUUGGGGUAUGUUUGGUGGAAGGGAUGGGAGUGAAGUGGGUUCUACGGUUGGUACUCUUAAACGUUGACGGAGAAUCAAUGAGAUUGGAUCAAGAAUGUAAGCGUGGAAAUGGGCUCUUGAGAGCCGUCCGUAUCCUUUUACCGACUUGUUUUACUCUGUAAUUGUGUACUUGAAAUGAAAGGUUAUGCUAUAUGCUCUUUGUUGCUUAUGUGGUAGUAACUCACUGAAUUUAAGCUCAUUCCGUUCCAUUUGUUUUUCUUAUAGGAAAUGACCACUUUUGGAAAAGGUUGUGUUAGUUGGUUGUCAAGUUGAGCUUAUGUAAAUGUCUUUUGAAUAGCUCUUUGAAUGAAACCCUAAUGUGCAUUGGGUUCAUUCUCUUUUGAUUGGCAAACCGAACAUGUAUAUCCAUGAUGAAUCGUUUUGAUAUGCCGCUUUGGUUUGUAAAUGUUACAUUUCAAUGUAUGUAUGUUUGGUUGAUAUUUGGUUGGAUUUCGGAUCAACUCGUAUUUCAAACGGCAAAAGAAAAAUUUGGCUACUCUCGGCCUAGUAUCCGGAGUCGGACGUGGCCGGUACAGUUCAUCAUCGGUUUCGAUUUUUUUCAUUUUUUUUAUUUUGUGAUUUUGACUUGGUUGCGCGCAUUGGUAAGUUCCGGAACGUAUUAGAUCGACGUAAACUGAUCCGUUAGUCCUGGCGAGAGUUGGGCAGGCAGUCCGCUAACCCCUUUGGUUCGCCUUAGGGGAAGGUGGGGCUGUUACACAGGUAAUGACCUCUAUCACGAUGGUUUCGUGGUUAUUAGAGGCCAGAGGGACUGCAUCUUCAGGUCCAUAAAUGAUUUUCUCGUACAUCUUUAAUCGUUUGCUUGAACUCUCCCCAUUGGGAGGAGGGCGGUUGUGACGCUGAGCUGUAUGGCUAUCCCCUCCAACCGGUUCUCCCGCAAUAGUAUUGAUCACCCCGGCCAGAUUCUGACCCUCCUGCUCGAGAGUUCGGCCACGGGGCCCCUGAGAUCCGUCACGGGAGUAGCUCAGGUGCUCUGGUUUGGGCCUUCCCCGUCGCUGGUCAGUUCGCUCAUUACGUAUGAACUACCCGAGGUGGCCCAGUCUGAUCAACUUUUUAAUGUCUUUUUUGAGGUGGCGACAAUCCUCCGUAUCGUGUCCCACAUCUCGGUGAUACGCACAAUACAAACCCUGAUCCCGCCUGCUCUUGUCCCCGAUCAAGGGUCGGGGAGGUCGAGAGAGUUCUUCUUGUUUCAUCACAGCGAGUACCCGAGUUCGAGGUGCAGUAAGGGCAGUCCAGAACUUAUCUCCUCCCAUGGGGCGACUCCUGGGCAGGCGAUCGUAGGCGUUCUUCCGUUCCUGGCUGUGUCGCGCGUCCAUCUGGUCAGUGUUCCUUCUGCGCUUAUCAUCCCUUAACUUUUCCUGCGCGCUUUUCAGGCGAUUGGCCUCCUCCGUGUUGGCUUUUUCAUGAGCUCGGUCCAGCAUCUCGCGCACUGACUUGGGAGGUCUUUCCACGAGCUUGGUGUAGAGCUUCUGUUUUCGCAGCCCGUUGAUGAAUGCGGCCAUGACCACCUUGUCAUCCUGAUCGCGGAUCUGGAGGGACUCAUUAUUGAAACGUACCAUGAACUCGCGCAAGGAUUCUUCAGGUUUCUGCUGGAUGGUCAUCAGGUGAGCAGUGCUUUUGGAGAAGGCUCGCGACGAAACGAACUGUGCUGAGAAUAAUCGUGCGAGUUGGGCGAAGGAUCGGAUAGACCUGGGGGGAAGCCCCUGGAACCAUUGACGUGCCUUUCCCUCCAGGAACAUUGGAAAAGUCUUGCACCUGACCGCAUCCGCGGCCAUUUGCAAGCGCAUUUGCCUCAUGAAGGCGAACAGGUAAUCCUCCGGAUCCGUGGUUGCAUCAUAAGAUUUCGUGCUCGGUAUUUUGAAUUUCGCGGGCAACGGGUAGUCCUCAAUAUCAGGUACAAAGGAGGAAGCAAUAUACCUAUCUGCCUCAGGAUCCAACAGCAAGUCCAACUUGUUCUGCACCUGGUGCUGCUCUCUUCGCGGGGAGAGCUCUCCCCUGGAGUACCUCCGGAAGGGCUUCGGAUGCUUGGUUCGGUAGUGCUUGUGGGAUGACUCCAUAACUUCGAUCUAUUCACACGUGAGCUCCUGGCGCAUCCGCUUGGGCCGGGGGUUGGGUUCCCUGUUCGGGAUUCUGUCAGGCCAACUCCUUCCACCCCUUGGACCUUAGGCUCCUGGUCAUGAUGACCUCCCGUCCGCCCUUUGAGGUAGUCCAUGAUUGCCUCGAAAGUAGGUAGAUUUUUCGCCACCGUUUGAACUAACUGUUCAGGUAGGAUUUGUGACGGUCCCGUUCCCUCAUCUCUAGGAGUCGAACCCCGAGUGGGGUUUUAGGGGCCACUUUUCUGGUUCUCCUUAGAUCCGUCAGCGUUCAUCUGAAAUCUAGUUCUUGGCAUGAUUCGCAAGAAAAGAACUACGUGUUUCCCAAGAACACAGUCUGAGCUGAGUUGCUGCAGAUCGAGCUGGUUGGGAGCUGCCUAGCUGAGAGGGGAAUGCCGAGCUGAAUAUUAUGCGAAGAAAGAACGAAGGCGGGACUAGAGUCUCCGGAAUAGCUCCGACGAUCAAAUCAGUAGAGUUUAAAAGUAGGACAACAGUAAAGAGUACUGUGGAUGGCGUACCUUGUAUUGUCGUGUGGUGCCAUAUUUAUAGGUUUCAGGGUAGUAGUUUCCUAUAGGAGUAGGAGUCCCCUUAGGGUUCGGAGUCCUUUUAGGGUUUCGUAUGACAAUCCCUAAAGGUUCGGAGGCGGCGGCCCACUAGACCCACUCUAGGGAGAGGCGGCAGCAGUGGCCGGGCUGACCUCUCUCUAAACCGAACUGAGGCGUCCGAGAUGGGAGACCUCUAUUGCCGACCUCGCGUGUGCCAGAGUGUCACAUGUGGAUUGCACCCACUACAGUGUGCUUUUUUUUUUUUUUUUAUCUUUUUUCAUAUUUUUUUUAUAUGCUUUAAGGUCUAGAUAAGAUAUAAAUUAGAUAAUAGUGCUCUUUUGAGUUUCUAAUCUUUUUUAAAUGUAACUAUUAUAAAUAAUUCAUUUAUUAUUAUCAUCAUCAUCAUCGUCAUCUUAGAUAUAAACUGUGCAUAACACGGGUCAGAUUACUAGUUUUAUAUGUACUCUAGAAGGAUAUUUCGAUACCUAAUUCAUUGAAAAAAAUAUUUUACUUACGUUAUAAAUAUAUCUCUUAAUUAUAUUUUAAAAUUUAAAUUAUCUUUUUAUUUCACAUAAUUACAUACAUCUAUAAUGUUGUAAUAAUUUUUUUUUUCUAAGUGAUGAGCUAUACAAACACCUUAUGCUAAUAGAAGUUGGCAACGACGAGCCACUUUCCUAUAAAAAAGUCACGUGUCAUUGAUGGACGAUUUGUAACCGUUGCCUAUGUCAAAAACGUGUUGGUGAGUGAUGUGUGUCCUAGCUGGAUAAUUUGUAACUACUGUUACUGAUGUCAAAUUUUGUAUCCUCACUGGAUGAUCUGUAAUUGCUGGUGCCGAUGUUAGAAUUUUGUUGAUGAGCGAUCUGUAUCCUUACUGAACAAUUCUGUAACUGCUGGUACUGAUGUCAGAGUUACGUCGGUGAGUAAUCUGUAUAAAUUCACCUAUAGUCCAAGAGGUAUGUUUGACUAGUAAGAGUAACCGAAAUCGAAUCCGAAUCCGUCUAAAACAUUUUUUUACCAAAAAAUAAAUAAAUAAAACAAAAACCAUCAUGUUUUAAACGAUGUCAGAGCUGCUGUGUUGAUGACUAUAAAUCUAUAUAUGAUCCUAGAGGUAUGCCCCGAAAUCGAAUCCGAAUCCCUCUAAAUUUUUUUUUUUUUUAACAAAUAAAAAACACGAACACCUAUGUUUGAAAGGAAAUGUGUGGAACUUGGGAGUGGAAAUUAAAGAGAGAUUGGAAAAGCCUCUGGGCUUUGACUCAUAGAGACUCCUCGUCACCGUGCACAGCAGUAAAGUUCCUUUCUUUCCCUCCAAGCAUCCGGCGUCUCUCAAUUCUCCAGACCGACGCGAGAGAUGGGCGGCCAGGAUAAACCCCCAGGACCCGGACUCGAACCCGACAUACAGCCAUUACUGAACGCCUCCAAAUACUUCCUCUGUCACCGGAGCUUUUCCCAGAGCUUGAAAUACGCGGACAAAGCCCAACAAUCCAAUCCAAACCACCCUGGUCCGCCCCAAAUCCUCGCUAUAUCCACUGUUCUCUCGGCCACUCCGUCCUCGACCCGACCCGAACAGCCAGAAUGGUACUUAAUCAUCAACCUCCCUCGUUUUACUCAAGACCAGAAUCUGAUUCGGACCCGUUGUGCUUCGCUCGUCAACCUCUUAAACCCUGACACAAACCCUUACCCAUUUGCAGCCGAAGCCCGUGAUUGGGUUGUCAAAGCAGAAUCUGUUUUGUUUGACCCGGACGCGAAAGCCCAGUAUGAUAACGGAUUGAAAAUGACGCAAAAAAAUAGUGGAAAUGGCGGCGGAACUUUUUGGACUUUGUGUCCGUACUGUUACUUUAUGUAUGAGUACGAGAAAAUGUAUGUGGAUUGUGUCCUGAGGUGUCAGAAUUCCAAAUGCAGGAGGGCUUUCACGGCGGUGGCGGUUGCUGCUUCAGCCGCGCCGCCACCGGAGUUGGUGGAGGAAGGAAAGUACACCUGUUAUGGGUUUUCGCCGCUGGGUCCUAACAAUGGAAGUGGUGGUGACUCUGGUGAAGAGAGAGGGAAAAGUUGGUGGGCUCCAUUUGUAUCCAUGGGUCAAUAUCCGGGUCCAGUUCGGGCCAAUGAGGAAAAGGUGGAUGUGAGGACUAAUGUGGACUCAAAGAGUGAAAAGAGUAAUGGGUUUAUUGAAAUUUCCGAUGAUGAAACUGCAGGUAGAGAGAAAAUUGAAAGAGGGGGACAGGGAAACGGUGUUAAUAAUGGGAAGGUGGUGAUGAAGAGGAAAAAAAUGGCUGCUAUAGGGAAGAAGAAAUUGAUGGGAAAAGGGAUUAGAGUUGUUGGGAACCAUAGUUUAUCAGCGGAGGGUGGUGAAGGAAUAGGAUUUAAAGCUGGAGGGAACGAAGCAAAUGCGAAUACAAGUCCAGGGAAUGAAGCAAAUGCAAAUACAAGUGGAGGGGUAACGGAAGGCUGUAAUGAGGAGGAAUUGGAGUUUUGUGCUGGAGAUGAUGAUAUUUUUGUUGCUGUGAAUCCUUGGGCUGAUUUAGGAUGUGAAAAGCUUAGGAAUUGAUGAGAGAUGAGUUGGGGAUUUUGAACUCUGUUUAUAUGCACUGUUUUGCUAGCUGGGAGCCUUGGACAUGAUGGUGUACUAAAUGGCCAGUAAAGUUUUGUAACUGGUAGAAUCAUGUUGAUAAUCAUUAGAACUGGUAGAAGUGAAGAAGUAAUCCUGAAUAUGGUUCUUGAUAUCUUUGUGUGGCUGUCAUGUGGAUUCUUUUGCCGGUAGUAUUUGAUGUUUUGAAACAGUUAUAUGGCCAAUAGUAUGCUUGGUUUUAUCCAAAAGUAAGUUGGAAAAAAAAACAGAGAAAUGGAUCAUAUGAUUGGUUAUCUUUUUGUUUAUAGUUUGUUAUUGGCAUACGAGUAUUAAGUCAUAAGCAAGGAAACAAGAUUAAAAUAUUCUAGGUGCUUUAAUUUGAUUGCUGGGUUUUGGAUCUGCUCUGCUUUGCCGUCCAACUUCCCUAACAUUUCCCGCCAAUAUUUCUUCAGCAAUCAAAUUGGAUCUGAAUCUGCUCUGUUUUAAAGUCCAAUUUUUCUUAUAUUUCCUGUCAAUUUUUAUACUAUUCUAGCUGCUUUAGUUAGAUUGCUGGGUUUUGAUCUGCUCUGCUUUAGUGUCUAAUUUUCUUACGUUUCCUGUCAAUAUUUUAGAUUUUCUUUACCUUUGCCUUUUUCUUUGCUGAAUUGCAUUGUUUAUGUUUCUGGUCAUCCUUUUAGUGCUGAUGCUGAGGAUCUUUAAUGUCUGAAAAUCUUAGCCUAAAUUUCUCUAAAUUGGACAAGUCUGAAUGUUGGUGUAGCUGUAUAUCUAGGAUGCUAAAUUGAUGGGGAUUUGACUUGUCAAGUUGAGAAAAGAGGACAUGAACUCUUAAAACUGUCGAGUAUUUACAUUAUACUUGAAUUUUGGUUCUGUCCUGAGGUUUGGUGCAUUCUCCUUGAUUCUAAUAAAUUGGUGGUGGCUUAUCUAUCUUCUUCUACUUCUUGUUGGAAGGUCCAUUGUAACUUUUUGGUUAUUUAGGUUUGGAUUGCAUCAAGGGAUAUCCUGCAAUAUGGGGUUAUCUUUUAAUGAGAUACUGGGAUAGUAUAAUGGACUAGUUCAGCUCUGACAAACUAGUUUUUGAAGACUCAGGUCAACAAUGGGAAAUUAUGUGUUAUGUUUAUUUGAUUAGGGUGACACACUAGUACUAGGAAGCAAUAAAGAAGUUAUUGCAUCUUUGAAAAUGUUUUGUGUGUAUAAAUCAAGAAGCGACUGCGUUAAUUUGAACCACUAAAAGUAUGCAGAAAUCUAGUAAUCAAGCAUCGUUAGUCCUGUCCUGUGGCCCCUUUCUUUUCUGUCUCUUUAGCAUUAAGUAGAAUAAGAGAAUUGGAAUGAUAUAUAAGUGGCAGAACAGGGGCAGACAUCCCUACAAGGGCCUGUCCGGACUAAUCUAGCAUGUCUACCUAAUUUUAUCUUCCAGUUUAGCCCCCUGUGACUGGAUGGUCUUUUACCUAUAUUGACUGCUAUUAACAAGUCUGAAGAGAGAUUGUGUUAUAUCAUGUGUGUGCGUUUGCAUAUUGAGCAUUUAGCUUCCCUGCGAAUGCUUUUUCUUUUUCUUUUAAUUGUGUUUUCAACGAGAAUAGAUUUUGCCUCUUCUUGAUUUGCUUGUGUCUUGCGUGUUCUGCUUUAUUCUGCUUAGAUGUCACAGUUGAACUGCAUACCUUCUGAUGCAUGUAGAUAGAGAUUCCUCCCUUUCAAGUCGUCAUGUCAUUCUUCGCCUAAAUUGUGCUGAGAAUAGGAAUGAGAAGAAAAAAAAUCUCUAAACUACCUAGGUGCAGAGAAACAGCUUCAUAGGCUUAAAGCCGCUCCCACAGGUUCUGGUUCUGCAUUUUCUUGCCUCACCAACUCUCUCCCUCUCUCUUGCUUAGUUGCUUUUGAUUUUUCUUAUGUUUCUUCCAUUUGAUAAUGUAUGAUCAGAUAGAGCGUGAUCUCUUUUAGGCCGCGUACGAGUUCAUACUUUGAGAUGGAUGAGGAACUAGCUUGUUGCAGGUUGAUUGAGUUUAUAUAUUAGAUUAAUUAAGACUGCUUAAGAAAAAGAUUGAUGUUAACUUCGAUCAGGCUCAACUAAAAACAGUUUUUCAGUGUGAAGAAAGAUGCUUCUUUCUUUAAGGUGUCAUCCAAUGGCUAUACUAACAACUUUUUGGAAGCAGAUUUUAACUUGAAAGUCGAGACCCCUAACUUUUAUCCAUCUGGGAUUCCUGAUGGGCCAAUUUUGCACAUGUUCGAUUGCUCUGUGCAUGUAUUAUUGUUUCCUAAGCUACAAGGAAGAAAACAGAACUUUUUGUUACAAGCAGCUUCAUGGGAUAUCUUUAACAGCAAAAGAAUUAGUCUUUUGGAAUGGUUUAUUCUGUCAUCUCCCUCUUUUUGUAGUGGGGAAAAUGUGGGGUUUUCUUUCUGGUUGCAUUAUUUAACAAAUCAAGUCAAGCUUGCGAAGUGGAGGGAAGAAGAUUUAAGUUGAUUUUUUGCACAAUUCGUUGAAGCAAAGAUGCAAAAUAGAACAUGGAGGAGACAUUUAAAUUUGGCCGAGAGCGGAAAAUCAAGAUAACAAAAAGAAACUUGAACGUGCCAGGGGAAAAAAAAAUCACACUACUGCCUUUUGUUCUGCUCUUUGGCUUACUUUUGAAUCAAAGUGAUCAUUUUUGUCAAAGCUGAGGACUAAAGAACUUCAAUUCUCUCAAGUUGGGUUUUCUUUUCACACCCACGUGGGCAAAGACACUCAAUUCCUUGCCUCUCCUCAGUCCUCCCCCAAUCCCACACGAAUACAAAAGAAUUUCACACCAAAUAUGCAUACAAGGAUAACUUCCAAAACCCAAAAAAAAAAAAAAAAAAAAACACACGCACACACACACACAAGGAUAGUUGCCUAUACAGGGGAUUUUUCACAUUUUGUCACUAAGUUGUUGGGCAUAGAAAUCCCUCCUUGGAAGUUUAUCCAUGGCAACCGACCAUCUCUGAGAGUUUACGGGCCUAUUUGGUAAAUAAGUUUUUGAUCAAGUUCGUCUGCCACAAGUUUUUUAACAACUUUAGCUAUAGUAAUCUCAAGAAAUUUCUUAAAAAUUUUAAACUAUAUAUUUCAAAAUAUCUAAAAAUUUAUACAUUUCAAAAAUUUUACAAAUAACUCCUAUCGUAAAUUACAGUAAAAUUUUAGACAAACACCCAAAAAAUUUAUUUGACAAACGGCUUGGUUUCAAAGUUGUUGCCAACCUUUGCAUCUUUUAAGUCGAAAAGUGAAAAAGGCAAAGCAAAGCAAAGAUCCAAACUGUAGAUGCUGGAUAAAGAGGACACCCUAUGUUUCUUCAUACCGUGAACUUAGUGAGGUGACCGUCCCAGCUGUAUUUGAUUGAAUUCAACUUUUCAUCCAUUGUGAAUGGGAUCUUUUUCCAUUCCAUUUCAAUCUGUCUGAAACCCAAAUGAUUUUGCAUUGUUUUGCUAAUACACGUAUUUCUUGGUCCUGUUUAUCCUAGGACUAUUUUGCAUAUGCUGAUUUUCACGGACACCUAUUUGACAUAGAAAAAGCAGUUUAAACUGGAGCAAUCUUGAUUUUCAUGCUUGCUUAAUUUAAGCCUUAAAGCUUCAAACGUCAUCAAUGAUAUAAAUGUGAUUGGAAUCUUUUAAGAGAAAGGGUAACUAUUUUUUUGUCUGUAACGAUACAUAUGUAUAACCUACUCUAUCCUAAUAUAGGAUAACUUGAUAUUGUGUUCUUUGUUACAAGGUACAAAAGCAUCCUACCACCAACCUCCAUACUUUUAGCACAAAGGGAACUGAUUAAAGCACAACUAAAAGAAAAGAAAUUAGAAACUUUUUUUAUCAAGAACAGAACAGUUUGCUGAUUGGUCUGUGUUAGAGGCUAACGGUUACAGGAAAAACAAGCCAGCGGUCCUUGUUGCGGAGAACAAGUUUGAGGUCAAAGAGGGGACUGUGGGGCUCUGAAGUUGCAGGUGUGUGGGAACAAAUGGACAAACAGCAAGGCUGCCUCUGCCUUUUCUUUCUUGGGACCCCAAAAAUAAAAUUCUUCUGCUGCAUGCCAAUGCCGUAAUCAACUGCGCCGGAAAAUCAUUGCUCUUUUGAACUUCUCCAUUAGAAUUCACUGGCCAAACCAAAAGCACAUCUUGUGAUAAAUAUUCUCCCUGCGCUUCUCACCUUUUUGUUCCUGUGUUUUGUUCAUAUCCCAAUAAUGUCAAACGCAGCGUUAUACGUUAUGAAUUCUAUACUUCAUGUAGGGGAAAAAAAAAUUGUACUAGUAUCACUUGGUUAUCAUACAUGCACCUUUUGAUUCUCUAUUGCUAGAACUCGUGCAGAAGCAGAUCUCCUCCAUUCGAUUUGUCAAUUUUGAUAAACGUAUUUUAAUUGAAAUAUAUUUUUGAUAAUUUUUCUAUCUAGUCUAGAAGUUUGCUAUUACAAUUUUCAAAGUUUCUUUGCAUGUAUUCCUGUCUGCCAUAAGAUCUAACAAGAAGUCAAGAACUCAAUGACGGGUGAAUGUUGUAAUGAUUAUUCCUUUUGUAUGACAAGCACACUACUGUAAUUUUUAGAGUUGUAGACAUUUAUAAAAUAUUAAUGGUGUUCUAACAUAAAUGAAUAUCUCAAUAAUAUUAUCCUAUUCUUAUUCCAAAAUUUUAGAUACAUUCACUCCUAAAAAGAGAAUACUCUCAUGAUUUUUCGUUUAUGUUGUGUAAGUGAAAUUGAAAUUCACAGCGCUGUGACUGUUUGUCCAAAUUAAGGGCAUAGCUACAACCAUUAAGAGGUCAAGGGAUCUUUUCAAAGAGGGAUCAUAGUUUGGGGGCUUAAGUGAAUAUACCGAAAAGUGAAAAGUACAAAUAGCUUGAUUUUAUUAGUGAACCUUUGCCUUAUAGUCACACCGCAUCCUUACUAACAAGUCCAACUAGACAUACUAAAAGCAUCACUCAUUUUCACUUCAAAUUGGCUGAUGUCCUGAUGAAGAUAGAGCAAUCUUGGCAUCCAACUCUUACGAAAACAAUCCUUUUGUCUUGGUAACAGGAGAAAUCAUCUCUGGGAUUUUUGUGCGAUAUUUCAGAUUUACAGAAUCUUCAAACUCAGAGGCGUACCAGAAGAAGCAGGUUGGAUUCUAACUAUAAAUGCUUCACCUUGAGUACGUUGCAAUUUUCCUCAAUCAUUUUCACUUCUACUAGUUCCCGUUGAAACAUAUGCCUUAAACGCCAAGAUUCUUCUUUUUUCUUGUGCUUCUUUGUUGUUUUUACCGAGAUGGAUUAUUCAUUUGUCUACUUUUGAUGCCUCACUUCUACUUGCUUUUGUCGACUCUUUUUAUAUCAAGUGAGAGGAGCAAAUGCAUACUUUGCCAAGUUUCUAUGAAGUUGGAAGCUGUUCAGAGUCUUACAACUUCCUUCACGAAAUUUUGAACUCAAGAGAGCAACUGCACCUUGACAAUUCAACCGUUAAUGCCAUUUCAAUGGCUGAGGCAAAAGCAGUUGCAGCAAACAAGAGCCACAGUGAAGCUGAAAGGAGAAGAAGAAAGCGUAUCAAUGGUCAUCUUGCUACACUUCGCAACCUUCUUCCCAAAACCAUCAAAGUAAGUUUUGUUCAUUCAUCUAGUUGCUCUUUUUAUUGCCCUAUUCAACUUUUCCAUGUUCAAAAGACGACCCUCCAUUCUUCUUUUCUUGGUUAAUAAGUUUGAAAUGUAAUGAACAUAGGCAGACAAGGCAUCAUUGUUAGCUGAGGUUGUCCGGUGCAUAAGAGAGCUAAAGAAGUCAACAGAAGAACUCUCAGCUACAGAAGGUGAUGAUCAGUCCAACACAGCAAUGAAACUCAUGUUUCCUAGUGAAACUGAUGAACUCAAGUUAUGUUAUGAUGAUGGAGAUUCAAGGACUAUAAAGGCAACAUUAUGCUGCGAGGACCGACCGGAGAUGAUGAUAGAGUUAAAGAGGGCAUUAAACGCAGUAAAAGCUAAGGUGGUGAAGGCAGAAAUGGCAACAGUUGGGGGAAGAACAAAAACUGUGCUUUGGCUGCAAGCUUCAGCAGCUGGAGAAGAAGGGCUGGCGACAAUAAGGAGAGCACUGAAAGUGGUUGUAGACAGGUCUAUCAUGUUGCCUACUCCUGGCCAGGCUUUGCCGGGUAACAAGCGGCCUCGUCUCUAUCACUGCUGAAUAUAUGAGUUUAGGGUUUUGUAUUUUUUGAAUCUUGACGGUGCCACCUGUUUAAAAUGGUCCAUACUAAUGUUGGGGAUGGGGACCAAUGACCCCAUGGAAAUUGAAAAGUGAGCUAAGGUGAUCAUGGAUGAGGUAGGAGAAUUUGAAGUGUCAAUUUGGUAGAAGAUUUAUCCUAGUUAUGUAUGAAUGUCAAACUCCCAGCUGGUGCUAUGAAUCUAAAAAGUAGUACUGCCUGCGCUGCGAGAUCUUCAUUCGUGUUUCCUUUUAAUUUUAAUUGAGAAGCAAAAUUGCGAGCUCUGAGUGAAUUAUGAAAGGGGUAAAAGUUUAAAUUAUUUUGGUAGAAUUCUUCGUUUUGCAGGUUGUUUCUAAUGAUUCCUUGAGUUACUAACAUGUUCCUUUUUUUGAAGGGAAAAAAAAAAUUGUAACAGGGUUGAGCUAGUAAUGAUUUUCCUUUUUCUAAUCAAAAGUUUGACUUCGACUUAGAGUAAGAGAAAAGUGGGGUUGGGGGAGCCUAAUCACUGAUUUCUUGUUUUUGGACUUUAGAAUCCAAGGUAAUCAUUAACAUUUGCUCCUAUCAGACUAGACUAUACUGUUUCAGGCACAUGUUUUUAGCCUUUAGUAGUUUAAUCAUAUGAAACACUAGCUUAUCUUUUUCUCAAUUUUGGAGCAAAUGUAUUACCAAUUUCUAACUCUUAUUUGACCCGCGACUGCAGUCACUCCCUCUCAUUUGUUUGUUUAAAUUACGUAAGACCCACUCCAUGUUUUUUCUCAACCAAGCCAUACACAUACCUUCAUCAAGAAUGUUGUCCUAUGUUUGAAAUCAAUUGAGAAGUUGAACUAACAAUAGAAAUCCUCCAUUUCUUCACAACUACAUUUUAUCCAACUCUUUGAACUUUCCAAACACGCAAAAUCUAUAAUUCACUAUAAAUAGCCAAUGCAGUUCCAAUCAAUUCAUUCAACUCAAAACAAAAGAAAGUACAAACCCUUUUAGCCGCACUCUUUUUGUGCUUUUGAUCAAACAAUGGCUGCCUUGAACCAUUGUCUCCUUUUCUCCUUCACGGUAGCAUUCUGCUUCUCAAGCUUCCAAAUGAGUUUCGCAGCCCGCCACCUGCUGCAGGCACCAUUGAUUCCAACAAUGCCUACGAUCCCAUCGCUGCCUAAACCCGCUGGGUUGCCUCCAUUGCCUUCAAUUCCAAGCAUUCCUAAGGCAACAUUGCCACCUUUGCCAAGCAUCACAUUGCCUAAAAUCCCAGCCGCUGCUGCACCACUGCCAAAGCCCACUUUGCCAAGCACACCUCCGCUCCCAUCCUUGCCAAAACCCACUCUACCAUCUUUCCCAUCUGUUCCCAAGUUCACUCUACCUCCACUGCCAUCCAUUCCAAAAAUCCCCGUCCAAGCACCACCACCAUCUCACUAGUGCUGGAGACUCGAGUUCUUGCAUUUGGUUUCAUUACGCCAUAUUGGUAGAUUCAUGAGCUGUUCGGUUUGAUCUUAUGUUCAUGGCUUGGUGUAGUAUUUCUGUCGUUUUUACGCAUUGGUUACAUGUAUUUGUCCUUUGGCGAUUUGUAAACCAUUUCCAUUUCUGUAUUCAUCCAUUGUAUUCUUGGAGCGUUCGUGUGUUGUAGAUCUAUUUUAGGGUAUUAGUAAAAAUAACUUUUAUCUUCGUUUAUAUCAUCUUCAUUCUGUGGUUAUAAACCUGUUUAUUUUUUUUUUCAAAUGAAUUGUGAAUGUAGAUUAAAGAAUUAGUCUAAAUAAAAUUUGGAGGGCAUAUUCUAGCCUGACACUCUUCAUCAAUCAUCAAUCAGAGGGUUGUAACAUACGUUGGAAAUCGCCUCCACAAUAGGGUGAAAAAGGAAUGUUGAAUAAAUUUGAAUGCAAAAUGGGGCAAAUGCCAAGCGUUACUUGGGUACCUUAGUUGGAUUUGGUGCUUGACAAUUCCAUGUAAAACCUGCCAAAAACCAUGACCGCAUGCAGUAAACGGAAUCCCUAAUGUAUUACAAUUCAAUAAUAAUAAAAAUGAAAACAUAUGAAUUAUUGCAUAAUAAGUACAUGAUAAUUGUACAAUAAUUCAUAUGAAUUAUUAUAAACUCAUAUAUAGUGAAAUUUGAAUUUAAGAAUUUAAAGUCUUGAACCCUAAACCUUAGGUUGAAGACUCAUUUUCAUGUUAAUGGACGUCCCUCAACAUGAAUUAUCUUUAGCGUUGUUUGUAAUUUCUAAUGAAAAUCAAAUUUACGAAUCAAUAUUUUUUGAUAAACAAUAAGCUUGCUUGUUCUAUGCUGACCAGCUGUGCAUGUACUUGUAAACAUCAUAGCUAGCACUCUUAUAAACUUAAAAGAGCUUACCUUGUUUCUUCCGGUGAUUUACAGUUCUUUAAAACCUUUAAAAAAAAAAAGUGAAGUAAAUUUAACUUUUUUUUUUUUUUUUUUGGUGGGGUUGCAUGUCAACCGAAAUCCAAAUUCAGAUGACCUUUAGGUUGCAAACUUUUUCAUUGAAGGGGGGGAAGAAAGGGACCAAAUCCGUCAAUUGUUCUUCCAAUUGGGUCCCUUAAUAAUUUUGGAGGCCCAAAACCAAAAUGCUACGAAUUUUCUCUUUCGUAACACCAUGUUGUUUCAAAGCCGAUGUUCUUCCCAUUCCAUCUUGUCUUCCACUUUCAAGACCAAUUUGGCCUGAUUACAAGAACAAUAGCUGAAGAUUUGCUAAGAUAGGAACAAAAAUAGAUUGACAUUAUAAUUGCGAUUACGAAACUGUUGAAACUGGUUAAGAACAACUACUGAAGCGUUUUGAUUUGCAAUGAUAGGAGCAGAAAAAGAUUGACACUGAAUUUCUAUCGGCUAUUGAAAUGAUAGCUUUUCUAGGAAUAGGUUUAUUAUUGCUUCUCGAUUUACUUAUUUAUCAGCAUGAGAUCAUUGGAGACUAUUUAAUAAAUGAUAAUCAUCAUAAAAUCUCACAUUAAAUGUGUACGAUGAUGAUGGGUCCUGGCUAAUUUUCUUUACAAUUAAUUCGUGGUUUUUUAAGGGAUACAAAAACUAAGUUAUUAUAAGGAAAUAUAUAUAUAUUUACAUUAGUAUUGAGGAAAGAGAAUCACCCAUGACACAAAAAGAUGGGUUUAAAAUGGUUCCAUGCAUGCUAUUACUGGAAAGAGGUGUUAUGACACUAGAAUCAGCUUGUCAAAGACAAGUUGGUCGUUAAUAGAGAUUCAAAAUUUUAAUUUGGGGUAUAAGUUUGUAGUUUUAAUCUCAAACCUUGCAAUUAAAGAGGAUUUAGCGUAUGCUCUUUCCUUUCCUUCUUCUUCCUUAUAAGGUCAGAGUCUCCUUUGAAUCAAAGUAAAAAAACCAAUAAUCCAAUAACAGUAGUCUAAUAAUAUCCGAAAUGGACUAAGAAUCUGAAAUAAGCUCAAUUAUGAAUGAUGUAACCGUCCUUUCGAACAAGAAUUUUAAAUGAUUUUAGAAGGGCAAUGUAAAAAUGCUUUUUGAUUUUUUUUAAUGCCUUGGGAAAACCCCCCACUGUUCUCAUGGACAAAAUGUCCACUUCUUUUUUAUCUUGUUCUCCCCACUUUUCCAGUCGAAACAAUCAGACCCUAAUUCAGUACCUUUUUCAGUCCCCAAAUUCCCGGGGAAGUUUCUAAUCUACGGAGUUCUUCUUAGUCAGGAGACUCAUUAGAAUGGCGACACAUACAUUCAAAUCUAAGCAUCCUCUGCAUUUUAGUACAAGUACGAUGAAUGUAACAUGAUUCUUCGUUAAUUAUUCUCCAUCUAAGCAUAAGCCAAAUACCGACUCCCAGUGGCGGAUUUAAGGUACCUCCACUGCUCCCUUAAAUUUCCUAUAGUAUCCAUAAAAUUUUGAUAUAAUUUCAAAUGUACGUCGAGAGUUUUCUUAUGAAAGAAUUAUAUGGUCUUCUAAGUUGAUUUAUAAACUACUAUUUUAAAAAGAUAUGUGGGUCACAAAGUUUCAUUUGAAAUAAGGUGAAUAAAGGCUUUUCAUUUCAAUUUGUUGGUGAAUUUUUUUACUUAAAAAAUUAGAAAAAGAGUAGGUAAAAAAAAUUUUAGUGUUGCUUUUACCCUCACUGAGAAUUUUUUCUGGCUUCGUCAUUGCCGACUCUACCAUUGUUGGAGACUUGGAGUAUACAGGUGCCAGAGAGAAGUGAUGUUUAGUUGUUAACCUUUGUGAUCUCAUCAUAAGUCGAGAGGUAGUUGAUCAAAAUUCCCCUGUAGUAGCUUUGUCCAUGCGACUAAAGAUCCAAAUUGUUUGUUCAUUUGCCAGUUGCCACUUUGAUGUUUAUGUCAUUCCGCUGCAACAUCUGUUCUUCAGUUGGUGGAUGCUGUUAGGAACUUAGGAUUUAAUUAUCUCAGUCAAAAUUUUUGCAACUAAAAUCUAGUUGAGAAGGCAUACCAACCUAUACAUCUUCAAACUGGUCCAGCUACAUUUGAACUUAACCUUGUAGUGCUUCCUUUAGAAAGCAUAGUCUUCCCCUUUAAGCUGAUCAAAAUACACAAAAAAAUCGUACUACCUUGGAAACUCAAAGCGGAGCUUCAAUCUUCUGCAUCAAUCAAUCAGCAUGGCUUCUUCUUCUUUUUCUAACCUUUGCAUCUUUCUAUCUCUGAUCAUUGCUUUGUCAUUUCCAAGCAUUCAAGUAACAGACGCGGCUCGCCAGCUUUUACAAACCUCACAACCAACAAUACCGACGUUGCCCACCCUGCCAAACUUGCCCACCGGAGCAGCAGCAUUGCCACCAUUGCCAACCACUCCUCUGCCAACAUUACCCACAAAUGUUCCAUCCUUGCCAAAGCCCGCGUUGCCAACAGUUCCCACAAUUCCUCAGGGGGCCCUCCCUCCCAUACCAGCUGCAACUUCAUUGCCAAACAUCCCAUUCACAAUCCCUUCAAUCCCAACUAAUCUCCCAACGUCAAUUCCUUCAAUUCCUUUCUUCUCACCUCCACCAUCCAACUAGACCAUUUUCUACCUGAACUUGUUUCAAUCAUUGAAUAUGCCGUAUCUGUUGCUUCGUUGUGAUAGCCUAAUGAUUUCCAUAUAAUUGGGAAAUUUUCACAGUUACAAUGGUCCUUGUAGGGAUCCUAUGAAACAGAUGGAGUUUGGAUUAUAUUGUGAGUCCCUGUAUUGCACACUGCAGGUUGUAUUCCCAUUUCUAAUGUUAUGAAUCCUUUUAUAUUUAUACUAUCUAAGAGCAACAUCUUAAAUUUUUCUCUUUUUUUUUUGUAUUUGAUUUUUCUGGAAUUACGUGCUCUGUUAUUCUGCUAAUUCCAUUCCAUUUGAUGAUAUGUCUCUUGAAUUAUGAGUUGUGUUUCAAUGAUGGGAACAACAUUCGCGCCGAGUUGGUCCCCAUGUGGUAUUUGCCAAAAAUGACACGGAAACUUUAACAAAAAAAAAGUCAGAUCUACCAUGUAAUUUUAAGAAGGAACAAUUUUGCAUCUGCUAUAAUCUUAAUAUUUGUUGCUUCACUUCUGAGUUUCUGAGGAAAAAUAAUAACAAUGAUGGCCAAAUUGAACAGCCACGACCUUUUUCAAGUUGCAUUGCUUGCGAUUGGGAAAGCAACAGUUUGUAUUUACUUUCAGUUUUAAGAAUAUGGUGUAAUGAAGUCACUUCGAACUCAAUUAGUGAACAAUUCGAGCUCGGCGUGAAUUAAAGCACUUGAACUCAAAUUUGACAAACUCUCAGGUUGGGUUUCAUCACAUACAAAUGUUCAAGUUUGAACUCGUCCAUUUUUUUUUUUUCUCGAAUUCAUGAAAUUGUUCAAGCUCCAUCGGAACAACAUCGAAUUCGAGUUUUAAUUGAACAACCUUAUGAGUAGUUCAAUUGUGACGUUUGCAACCCUACUUUAAUAUAUAGGAAUACUUGUUAAUUGAUACCAGGGUUUCCUUCAGUUAGUAUCGUUUUGGUGCUACGUACGUACUAUUUAGAUUCAGUUUUAAGAGUUAUUAAUGAAUAGCAGCCAAUAAUAUAAAAGCAGCAUAAAUUACAACAGUUAUAAUAGCCUCUCAAAUGAUCAUGAAAUCAAAACAAAACCGCAUGAAUGAAAUCAAUACUGAUGGGGUUUAUGUUCUUGAAUUUUCUGUUCAUUUAAUUCCCUUCGCAUGAUAAUACAAAUAUGAUGAUUCUUGGGGAUAAAGUUCCCUAAUGUUUGAGAGGUUGGUCCGCUCAAAUAAAUAUUCCACGUGUCUGACUUUCGGAGAAGAGAACACUUGGCGAAGCCUGGAUUAAACCUUAUUUGUCCAAGUCAUUCCCAUUUCCAUUUCAUCCCCUAUAAAUUCACCCCGCCAUACAGAUCAGUUUCAUGCAAUCAAAACGUAAUUUCUGCUGAUCAGUUUCAAAACUGUGGAUUGCCAGAUGAUGGAGAAGGCUUCAAUCAAGUCCACUCUCUCAGUUGCUCUCUUCAUUCUUCUUCCAAUUUGUUAGUCUCUCUCUCUUGAUCUCUCAUUUACACUUGCACAGGACUAGAAUGUGUAUUGGUGAAGGGAUUCUUGCUUCAUAACUUGAAUUCACCGGUUGAAAAUCAUCACUUUAUUUCUUCUAUUAAAAGAUUGUUUCUUGUUCACAAAAAAGGAAAAAAAAAAAGAUAAACAGGCCCUUUGAUUGCAGUAUUAUCAUUCCCAAUGAUGGAAGUGAAAAUGGCAACGAGCAUCUCAAGAAAAUUUCAGAUAUUUGAAUGUGGAAAUCCUUGUAGCUCUGAUGCGGAUUGCAAAUGCACUGAUUUCUAUUGUGCUCCGAUCCCGGAUGUGAUGAUAAUGGUUAUUAUAUUCAAAUCAAUUUUGGCAAUCUUAAUUAACCAAGGUGGCCAACAAUAAUGGUAUCCCACUUUAUAUUUUACAUAUAUAUAUAUAUAUAUAUUUUUCUUAAUUAACUUUUUACUUUUAAAAAAUAUGAACUCCUAAAUUCUAUCUUAAUGACAAUCCAUUCGGUACUAGUUAAAUAUACCCUAUAUUAUUUUACAAGCCCAAAACCCAAAGCGCUAAUUUUCUACCUUUUUAAAAAAAAAAAAAGCCCCCCAUCCACUCGUCCAGGUCUUUUCCCAACGAGUACUCAGGCUGCUGGCCCUAAAUUACUAACUUCAAACUCACAACAAACGUUGGCAAAUGAUGAGUUAGUUGUAUUUAAAAAUGCAUGUUUUCUUAGCUACGUAAUUAUGGUAAUAUGCGUACAACGACUAUAUAUUUUGUUGUAACAUAUUUUUAAGAUUAUGAGAUGGUUGCGUUCCUUGUUGAAAGUGGCUUUCGAAGUUAUUUUAUAAUCAAUCAUGUUACCAAUUUUAAAAAUUUUGAAGUUUUUUUAAAAAUUUUUUUUUUUAGUGUAAAUAGAAGGAUUCACGUCAUCAUCCUAGUCUGGAGUUAGUUCAUCGACAUUUUUCUAUGCUGGCUUCUCACAACCACGUCCUGUCCAUCAAAAUCCUCUCAUCUAUUUCAGUUGUCAAAAAUGAGCAACUGGCAGGUCAUUCCAUAUCAUCAUAUAUACACAUUAUUUAUUUAUUCGGUGGACUUUUGUUGAUGAGAAUUCUGAACUUCGAAAAAGUGAAAUUGGUUGAGGUAGCAAACCAACCUGCAGUAAUUCUUCCAACUUGUCCAACUGCAUCUAGCCAACCAUUGCUCCCUAUAAAAAGCAUUACCUCCCCCUUCAACUCAGACAACAUACUAACACAUAUAUUUGGGAAUUCCCCUACAAAUUCAGUUUCGAGCUUCUUCCUUCUGCGGUAUUCAAUCCAAUGGCUACUUCUUCCAAUGUCUGCUUCUUUCUGUCUUUGCUCAUUGCUUUAUCAUUUUCGAGCAUCCAAGAAAGCCAGGCCGCUCGCCGACUAUUGCAAACUUCCCCACCAGUGAUACCAGCAAUACCAACAUUGCCUGGUACAACCAUGCCAAAUUUGCCUACCACAUUGCCACCAUUGUCAAGUACUCCUUUCCCAACAUUACCAACAAAUCUUCCAUCUUUGCCAACUAUGCCCACAGUUCCGAAGGUGGCCCUCCCUCCCAUUCCAGCUGCAACUUCGUUGCCAAAUAUUCCAUCCACAAUUCCUCCAAUCCCAACUAAUAUCCCAACUUCAUUUCCUUCAAUUCCUUUCUUCUCACCACCGCCAUCCAACUAGACCAUUUUAGAUAUUUGAAUGUUUGAGUUUGUCAUAUCUGUUGUUCCUUCAGAUCGCUUAUCAUACGAUUUCAUGUACAAGUAAUUUUUACAGUUUCAUUAGUCCGUCUGUAUAGCUAGGGAUCUUAUGAAGUAGACGGAGUUUGGUUUGUUUUUGAGAUUGUAUUGCGAUUGUUUAUGUUAUAACUAGUUCUUAAUUGAUACCAUGUAGGAGUUUCUUGUUUGUUGUUUCUUGAUACUUUCGUUUAUUUAUCUAUCUUUCGUUGGCUUGAGGCCUUAUAUUACACCUCUCGUUACACUUUAUUAUUCAACUUUUUAAAAUGACAUGCAUCCCCACAACACAUUAAUCAAAAGAACUUGGAUUCUUAUCCAUGAUUAUAUGCAACACAUCUCAAUCUAACUGUUUGUCUAAUAAGAAUAUAACAUAAAUCAGACGAUCUUUUUUAUUUUGUAAAUUACAUUCUCACCACUCAGCUAUCAUUCAUCAAAUGUAAAAUUUUAAUUUAAGGUCAAUUUUAGAAACCUUCCUUAAAUUUUUUAACGAUUUCAGGCAGUACUCUCUUGUAAUUUGGAUAAUUAAACCCACCUACAUUGCUAACUUCAAUUGAGUAUCAUAACCCUUUUCUAAGAUACAGGCUGUUUACAGAAGAAAAAACCAGAAAAUUAUUCACCCAAAUUCCCCAACACUCCCCGUCUUCUUGUCAGCACUAUUGUACUUUUAUCCAUUUUUACCACCAUCACUACCAUCAUUGCCAGAAGCAUGGCAAACAGAUGCUUCUCAAAUUACCUGCCCAAAAAAAAAAAAAUUUCGAAUGAGAUGCUGCAACACCACCCAAGCCAUAAUCUACCAGCCCAAAAACCUAAAAAAAAAAAACACACACACACACACACGAUAUGCUCCCUCUUUGCCAUCAAGCAUGUCUGCCCAAAUCCUUUGCUACUUUGGUUUCCUCAACCAAUAUACCUCAAUCCCUCCCCUCUCUCAAAUAACAUCUGAAAAGUAAUGGAGUCAGCUCCAGUCCCAAAGGGGUAUACUUCUUUCUUUAGUUAUUCAUGGUGGAAAUAUGCUGCUAAUCAAUGUCCACAAUAGUUAUAGACGACAGACAACCAAGCUAUGCUGGUUUCAGCAAUUUGAUACAGACGUCCAAAAAAUAAAACCAAAAAGUAUUAACAUGGAUAUAAUAAUUGCAAACUCCAAAUAACUAAAAUGUCAGCGUUUAGCCAAAUGUAUGAUCCCACACUUGGAUUCAAUAUAUAUAUAUAUAAAUAUUUAUUUAUUUAUUAGGUCGCUUGGUUUCAAUUUCUUCAAGCUUAUAUGAUCAUACACUUUGUUUGAGUUUCUUUAAGCUCUAUCUGACUUUGUUAUACGGUUAAAGGCUUAAUGCUUUGUCAGGAGCCUUAAGUUUGCCUGUUUAGGUACGUGGUUAUUGGAACUUUAGUUACUGUAGCCUAAAUUCCUUUUAGUAAAGAUUAAAUUAAUGGUGGGAUCGUAGUAGAAGUAAAAAAAAAAAAAAAAAAAAAAAAAGUCGCUGGACCAGGAGUAUAUUUUGUGGUAAGCACUUUUUGAUAUGUUUGUGUAUCAUAAAGUAUCAUCAAAUGUGGAAAUCUUAAUUACUCAUAUUCUGAGACCGAACAAACAAAAAAGAUAAUCUGAAUCAGAAACUUGUGCUUGUGAUUCGUGAACAUCCGUCAUCUUACUCUAUUAUUUUGGUCUCUAGCGGUUGUAUUACUCUUUGGUUUUGAUUUUAUCUGGUUGUACUUUUGUUCAAGCAGUGACUUGUUGAAACUGGCCAAUGAAUUGGGAAAAAAAAAAAAAUCAAAAGCGAAGCGGUUUGUUCAAUUUUCGUGUGUUUUCUUUACAUUAAAUUUAUUGACAUAUUAACAUUAUAUGGUUUCUUGUGGAUUAAGUUCCUAACGGGAGAUUCUGCCCGCUAUGGAAACUUUUAUAUUGUACCGAAUUUGAAAGACCUAUUUGGCAUAUUCUCGAUCAAACCUCAUUUGUCGAAUCCAUUUCCAGUUUGAGUUUAUCCCCUAUAAAUUCACCUGAAAUAGACUAGUUUCAUGCAUACAAAAAUUAGUUUCUACUGCUCAUCAACAACAGUGGAUACUAGAUGGAGAAGGCUUCAAUCAAGCCCGCUCUCUUAUUUGCUCUCUUCAUUCUUCCAAUUUGUGAGUUUCUCUAGGAUUCUUACCUCAGAACUUGAAGUCACGGGUUAAAAAUCCACACUUUUAUUUCCCCUACUAAAACAUUGUUCCUUUUCCAUUUAAAGAAAAAAGUACAGGUAAAAAGACCCUUUUUCAUCUAACAAAACCUUUUUUCCCCUAAUGUGAUUUAAUUGUAGUAUUAUCUUUUCCAGUGAUGAAAGCCAUGGAAGUGAAAGUCACUGGCAACAAGCAUCUCAAGAAAACUUCAGCAGGAUUGUGCAAUUCCUUGUGGCUCUGAUGCGGAUUGCACAUGCAUAGGUUUUAGUUGUGCUCUGACUCCCAUAGAGGGAUGUGACGAUAAUGGUAAUUGUAUUCAAGUUAGUCGUUGCCUGGACGAAAUUCAAGCAUUGUGGCAAACAAUAAGAGGCGUGUAAUACAAUUAUUUUAAAGGUUUUGUCUACUGGUUAUUGGUUUCUUUGGUAGUAAGAGUUUGUUUGUAAUAAAGAUAGUAGGAUGAGAUUUUUUUUUUAACGUAAAAAGAGAUUUUAUUGAAUAGAACAUGAAUGUACACAAGUGCAGAGGUAUUUGCUACACAAAAGUACGACUAAAACCAAUUAAGCUAUACAAUAGUACUGCUACAAUGAACUAAACUCCGAUUAUGCUAUCAACAUUUAAGAAAAAUCUCUUGGGGAAAUCCCAACUAAAACAAAAUAACUAGUUGUCUCUUGUACUCAAUACAUUCCUCCAUUAUGCCACAUAAUAGCGAAUCUCCUUCCAUAUAUAAUAUACAACUGCCUCUAGUGCCAACUUUUUUACUGUGUUUAUAAAACAUUCUUUCUUCCAAUGACAACUGAGCCAUUUAACUUCAGUAUUCCAUUCAUAAGUUCCGCGUAUUGCAAGCAGCAUUGCUGUAUUCUUGACCAAAUAUAAGUUGCAUACUCACAUUAAAAAAAGAGAUGAUUACAAGAUUCAUUUCCAGUAUAGCAUAAUACAUAUCUCAUUUCAGACAUAAUGCCCCACUUAACCAACCUGUCCUUUGUGCUUAAUUUGUUCUUACACAACAACUACAAGAUAAAUGAAUGUUUCGGAUAUAUUUUUUGAAGCACACAAGAUGAUGCCAAUAGACCUCAGUAGCGAAAUGGUUCAACACUUCAUUUGCAGAUUUGACAGAGAACAAAUCUAAUUUACUGGGCAGCUAUUUCACUAUAUUUGACAUUCCCUCGCUUAGUAACUAUCCAGAAGGAAAAAAUUGUGCAAAAUCAUCAACUUCAACAGGUCUCCUCCUACCAGCAGGGAUCUUCCACUCUCUAUUUUCAAUGAUAGAAAAAACCUUAGCUUGUGGCGUACUUCCAAACUAUCGCACCAUAUUGGGUCCAUAAGCUGUGAAGCAUGGCCCUCUAUGGUGCCAAUUAUCAUACCAAAGAAGUAUUUUCUCCACUUUUGAUCACUGAGACAAUAAAAGGCUGUAUAAUAGAUCUGAUUUGAAGGAGUUUAUGCCAAACCCAAGAACAAAAUUGAGGCAAUGAAAUAGACCAGAAACAUUUAUUUUUGAGUUUCACAAUGUGAACCCAAGCAAUCCAAAGAGAAUCCUUUUCAAGUGUUAUGUGCCAGAUACAUUUAAACAAUAAAGCCUUAUUCCAAUUAGUCAAAUUAGGUAAUCCAUGUUCUCCUUGUUUGAUAGUAGGAUGAGAUUGUUGGUGUGUUAGUUACUCAUUGUCAAUGUUUGGAUUUACUUCUGGUCUAGAUUGAACCAGAAGAUGUUCUCUUUCUAUUUAAUCAGUAUAGGCCAAAUCUUGGUAAUUUCUAUAUUUCUUGGUUCACAUAAAUGUUGUAUUGAGUUCGAUACCCAUGAUACGAGACUGACCUGCUGGAGUAAUGAUGGAUUGUAGAUUAUUUGUGAUCCAAGAUCAUCCAAAAAGCAAACUGAAACAACCUUAGUGGCCCAAAAUUUUUUUAAAAAAUAAUAAAACGAGGUUGCAAAUUUUCAGAUAAUAAAACAGAAAUGCUGAAAUUUGCUACUUCUCAGUCGAACAAGAUUGUUAAUUAACCUUAGAAGCCCAUAAUGCAAAUUGCCAAUUUUUUGAAACCCAUUCUUUCUAUGAACUUUUCCUAACUUGUACUCGCUCUUCCAAACUUGGAUUACCAAUUCAAAUUUGCGGUCUAAAUUCCAUCCCAGGUAGAACACAUGUACUUAUUAUUUACUUGGUAGAUUUUUUGUUGAGGAAUCUGAGUUUCUAAGAAGUGAAUUUAGUUGAGAAGGCAAACCAACCAAUGCUUCUUCAAACUUGUCCAACUACAUCUGACGAUUCUGACCAACCAUUGCUUCCUAUAAAAAGCAUCAUCUACCCGCUCAUCCCCUACGGAAUCAAUACAAAACAAAUUAAUCCCCUACGGAUUCAAUUUGAAGCUUCUACCUUCUGCAUUAAUCAAACAAGUGCUCAAAAUGACUACUUCUUCCAAUGUCUGCUUCUUUCUGUCUUUGCUCAUUGCUUUAUCAUUUUCGAGCAUCCAAGAAAGCCAGGCGGCUCGCCAACUAUUGCAAACUUCCCCACCAGUGAUACCAGCAAUACCAACAUUGCCUCGUACAACCCUGCCAAAUUUGCCUACCACAUUGCCACCAUUAUCAAGUAUUCCUUUGCCAACAUUACCGACAAAUCUUCCACCUUUGCCAAAGCCCACAUUGCCAACUAUGCCCACAGUUCCUAAGGUGGCCCUCCCUCCCAUUCCAGCUGCAACUUCAUUGCCAAACAUUCCAUCCACAAUUCCUUCUAUCCCAACUAAUAUCCCAACGUCAUUUCCUUCAAUUCCUUUCUUCUCUCCACCGCCAUCCAACUAGACCAUUUUAGACAUGAACACGAUUCAGUGUUUGAAUUUGCAUAUUUGUCGUUCCUUCAGAUUGCUUAUCGAUACGAUUUCUUGUACUUGAAAUUUUUACAGUUUCAUUAGUCCGUCUAGCUAGGGAUCUUAUGAAGUAGACGGAGUUUGGAUUUCAUGUAUUGUGCCUUGGAGAUUGUAUUCGGAUUGUUUAUGUUAUGAAUUAUGAUGAGCUCUCUGACACUAUGAACGAGCACUUUUUUACGUAUGUUUGUUUCUUUUGCCAACUCUAAACAUAACUUUAAGUCAUAGAUAUGAAUGUGGGAGACAAAAGUUUUUAGUUUUGAGUUUUGGGAUCUAUAGCAACCGUUAUACCAGAAUACAUCUACGCUUAAAAUGGUGUACUCCCAAAAAAAAAAAAAAGAAAGAAGUUUUGGGAUGGGCAUAAUGAAGAGUUUCAAUAUGUAAGUUCUAUCAUCUGCACAAAUAAAUUGGAAGCUCAUGAUGUGUUAAUGUACAGACAUUUGGGAAAAUGUUGCGGAAUUUGUGUUUUUUUUUAUUUGAAAGAAUGAAAAUUCUAUCCAAUAAAGACUACAUUCACUUCACAAAAAAAAAAAAAAAAAAAAAAAAGAUUAGAUUCACCAGCUGUCUAAACUUUCAACUUAAAAAAAAAAUUAAAAGUCUUUGAUGAUUAAUUACCUUAUUAAGUCUCUCUUGCCAAUAAAAUCUUGAUUUAGUAGUGAAACAACACUACUAAACCACUUGCAUUAAGAGCUGAAUUCAUCCGAACAACCCAAAAGAUUCGUUUUAAAGAGAUAAAUAACAUAUUUUGCAAAAAAAAAAAAAAAAAGUGAUGCCAUAGCAAAAGUGUGAAAAAUAAAGGGGUUACACGAACACCCUCCAUCAGAAAAUUAUUACACGAAUGAAAUCUAGGUAUGAAUCAGUGAUUCAUAAGAAAUGUGAGAUAACUUUCAACAGUUAGAAUAUCCAAUUAAAAUUUCAUUAAUAGUUGAUAAAAGACUUGUUAAAAAGUCCUGGAAAAACCUAUUUAUAAACUAUAAAAGUUUAACCUAAAAAGAAAACAAAACACACGAAAAACUCUAAAACAACUAAAAGAUGCGUUGCAGCCGUGAUGACCCUUCAGAUAUAUUUAGUAACACUAGAUUUUUUGUUUUUUUUUUGGGGUAGGUUCGGGUAACAUGAUUUUGCUUCUUAGCUAGAAGUGACGGGUUCAAAUCUAUAUUCAAAAAAAAAAAAAAAAAAAGGACUGGUAAAAAGGCUUUUCAUCUGACGAUUUUUUAUGGGAUUUAAUUGCAGUAUUGUCAUCGCCAAUGGUUCAAGGGAUGGACGUGAAAAUGGCCACAAUUAUCUCAAGAAAAUUACUUCAGACUGAAUGCGAAGUUCCCCUGCAGACGAUUGAACAUGCAGUAAUCACUCUUGUUGUUGACAACCCAAUAUGCGAAGAUGAUGAUGAUUGUGAUGCAGUAUUCCAAAAAAAAAAAAAAAAGUAUGCCAGCAGGUGUAGCCUCAAACCCUGAAGUGAUUGUUCGAGAUAAUUCAUGGUUGGAACUUGGAAUCGAAACGCGAGAUCUGCUUUCUCUACAUGAAAAAUCUAAAUAAAAUCCUCAAUUUCGACAUAGUUCAGAUAAAUGUUUGAUAAGUCAAUUGUUGUACUUUGCAUCUUGUGACCAAGUCUGUAAUGCAAAUAAUAGGAAAUAAACCAAAGUGCAUUGCAGUACAAGGGCUGCUCAUGUCUGUUUGUAGUUUAAUUUGAAUAUUUCGUGCAAGUUAUAUGUACGUUCUCGACAUUAUUUGCAUGGAAUGUCGCUCAUGCUUUAAUUUGACCUUUAAUCCCUUUCAUUUUUAUUACUUGCAGUAGUAUUAAUACAAGGACUUUUACUUCGACUAAAUAAUAGGAGAUCGAUUAGUAUGAAAUGAGAAGCUCUCAAGAUACAGAGGGAUACUUAUGUUUUGAUGCCAUGAAAUGUACCCCUACCUCUUUUUAAAUUCCAACCUUCCCUUAUUAUUAAAAAAAAAAUUUAAAAAAAUAGAAAAGUAAGCUGUUUUUUUUUUAAGAGGACAACUUCACAUCACAAAUACAGUUGAACUACUCUUUCUUUUUUUUUUUUUUUUUCCUUCUCCUCGUCAAGUGUUGGCCUCAGUAUCGCUGCUGUUGGAUUGGAUUUUUCUCUCAAGUUUCUCUCCUGUAUUGACCUUACCCCAUUUCAGACUCUGUGGGGGAAUUCUUAAUAACCAAGUGUACACUUGCACACCAUAAACUGUUGGUAGUUCAUCAGCAUUCUAAUUCCAAACUAAUUCCAAGUUUAGUUGAGAAAGGCCAACUAAACCUAAUUCUACUAAUCCAACUACAUUCGAUCAAACACUUUCACCUCUAUGGCUAUCUAUAAAUAAGAGUCAAGAAACAAUAUGCGAGUCCCUCAACUCGAAACCAGAAAAAUACCCAUCUUGUACUUGCCGUAACACUUAAAAAAGUGUUUGCUAAUUUCUGAAUUUCAAUACAGGAUCAUUUACCAAUGGCUACAUCUUCCAAAGUUUGCUUUGUUCUGUCCUUGAUCCUAGCUCUAUCAUUUUCAAGCAUCAAGGUUUCUAACGCAGCUCGCUACCUUCUGCAGACGACGCCAGGAAUACCUACAAUGCCAUCGUUGCCCAAGUUGCCUCCAUUGCCUACCAUGCCAAGCUUCCCUACAGCCACAUUGCCACCAAUGCCAGCUACCCCUUUGCCCACAUUACCCACAAAUCUUCCAUCACUGCCAAAGCCCACAUUUCCGCCAUUGCCAAGCACUCAGCUUCCAACUUUGCCUACCAUCCCUUCCAUUCCCUCUAUUCCUACUACAAUUCCUACUUUACCUUUCCCCUCACCACCACCAUCAAGCUAGACAUUGAAAACGAAGCACUUGGAUUAUUUAUCAUCAUCUCUUUACUGGGAAGUCUGGAAAUCCAUGAAGAUUAUCGAUCAUUUCUUUUUUUUUUUUUUUUUGGUGGCUCCAGCCAUAUUCGUAUGUUACUCGUACUAUGAUUGCGGCGUUGUAUCUUUGUUACUCAUACUAUGAUUGUAUUAUUGGAUAUCUGUUACUCAUACUAUGAUCGUAUUAUUUGAAACCUUUCUUUCACGGGGUCUGAGUAUCUGGUUAAGAUUUGACCGACAGCCAUCAGAAAUCUAAUCUCAACAACAUAAAAGCGGUUCUUUGGUUACAUUCUUUGAAUUAAUUGCUUUUUUUUCUGAAAGACGAAAAUAAAAUGCAAAUCUAAGGCUGUGAACGAAAACACUAAGGACUACUAUCACCGACAACUGUGUACUGGGGCAGUAGCAAUUCAGUCCCUUUUACAAUCCAAGCAUUCAGGUGCAACAUACUUGUCUAGAUUGAAAUCAGGCUUCAUGUGAAAGUUGAUGGAACUUCAUCUUGGAGACCCCAAAAAAGAGAGAGAGAGAGAGAGAGAGAUAGACAAGCAAAACAUGAGAGGAAUAUUACUUUUCAUGCACUUUUGUAGUCUGGAUGUAAAUCUUGUCAUCACAUCUUUGAUAAAUAUGCUGUUUAUAUCACAAUAGUGAAUUGAAAUAGAUUAAAAUUUUUUAUGUUUUUUGGUUUAAAUGAGAAUUUUGUUCACCAGUUAAUAUACACAAGCUGUGUGUUCAAGCAAUGACGAGUUUGGGUCCUCUUAAUUGUUGUAACUUCUAGAGCUGUUUGGUCGUAGUUGUGCAAGCAACUCAUUAACAUAAAAUAACUAUGUUGACCACUUCAACGAUUUUUAUAUAAUUCAUUAGGAUAUGGUACAUGUAUGUAUUGUGUGAUUUGAUAUUAUUAUCACAGUCGAUUUUUGUACUUUUUACAUAAUAUGAUAUGGUAUGCAUUUACACAAGUUAUUGCACUGAAUUUCUUACGAGAUGGAGUGCAAAAGAACAAAACGUACAGAAAAAAUAAAAUAUGGCUCACAUGUACAAUCACAUGAUGUAAACUUGCAUCAAAAAAUUAUGUAACAAAUACAGUAGUAUAGAACUGCACCUACCGCAAUGGUACUUGCAUCAUUUCCAUUUUAUCUGCAUCAGAAAGGAGCUACAAAAAAAUGCUAAACUAUUAUUAGCAAGUUUCGCAACUCAUCCAAAGAAAUCCAAACGGAUGUACAUCAUCCUUUGAAUUUUUGGUCUUAACUUUCCCAUUAUGGUAUGUGUGUGUUUGAAAAGUAAAAGCCGAAAACAAGAGGGGACUUUGAAGCAGCUGACGAGUUCCACGCAUGCAGUUGCUAAGAAAACCCCCCCAAUGUAGUGUUACCAUUGCGAAAUCAGUUUCCAGGUGUACAGCACUUUUGCUACCUGUCACCAUUUCAGCCCCUUCGCCAUGAAAUUUUUCCAAAUCAUAUCUCAAAAACUCAUCUAAAACCUGAGAAACCAUAAGUCCAGAUUGAGAAAAUGCCAAGAACCCACCGCACUGCAAUUUUCUACUGAUAAUCUAGACACCAACGUCAUAUUCUAAUCAAUGUAUCAAGCUCUUCAAGCACAUAUCAUGAAAUCCUUCUGGUUUCCUUCACUAUAAAUAGAGCUUGAAUGAACUAGUAUUUUCCUAACAUCUUCAGUAUCUCUUUUGUAAGCCAGAAAGCACAGGAAAAAUGAAGUCCAGAGCGUUUAUUUUGGUUGCACUUCUAUGUGCUCUAUUUCUUCUCGUUUCUUCCACUAUGGCUGUUGAUACACCCAAGGAUGGAACAAAGGGUAAGAAAAUACUAGUACCAAGUAGCUAUGCUUAUGUUUUUGCAAGAUUUCCAUCGGUCAUUAACUUGAUUUUCUUAUUUUUCAAUAGAAAUAUCAUACGAUCUCCGUAAAUGAAUAGUAUGGAUUAUAGGAUGAAUUACAAAUGUUUGCCUGGUUGACAAUUAUUGUUUGCAGAGGACAAGGCAAAGGAACCCGAACAAUAUGGAGGUCGGUGUCGUUAUGGCUGCUGUGGUCGUCGGGGCCCCUAUGGUUGUAGUAAGUGCUGCAGAACAGGUAAUAGUUGCACCAUUCAAAGAAACAGGAUUUAAAUGCGUGAACAGUAUUUGUAACUUAAAAAGUUGUGUUGUCCAUGUAGCUAAUGAAGCUGAAGCAACCCAAGUAAACGCUGACAUCAAUGGCAAUGAAGGCGGUGGACAUGGUGGUGGCGGCGGCUAUGGAGGUGGUGGCGGCGGACAUGGUGGUGGCGGCGGCUAUGGAGGUGGUGGUGGUGGCAGCGGAGGUGGUCAUGGUGGGGGAGGUGGUCAUGGUGGUGGAGGUGGAUAUGGUGGGCACUGCAGGUACGGCUGUUGUGGUGGCUAUGGCAAAUAUUGCAGGUGCUGCUACAACCCUGAAGAAGCUCAAGCUUUUGUACAAAAUGAGAACUGAGCCAAGCCAUAAAUCAAGGAAACUUCCAUGUACAAGUUUGCGUGAAUAACUACAUGGUUGAAUGUUGAUCUUAUGACAAAAAUAAAAUACUUAGUACAUGUGCUUCUGUGCUUAGCACAUAUGUAAGGAAUAAAAAGUUUCAGUCAUCAUUUGAUGAUGUGAAUUUCAACAAGUGUCCUUCAAUCCCAUGCCUGGAUUUUUUUUUUUUUUUUUUUUUUUAAAUUUGACAUCUGCUACUUGUCAUGUUUGUCUUUGCUCUUAACAUUUGCACUUGAAUGCUCCAGUCAAAAUUUAAGUAAAUUUGUGAAAUAAAUAAAAAUAG